rnacentral:rRNA from 1 species
GAUGAACGCUGGCGGCGCGCCUAACACAUGCAAGUCGAACGAUUAAAGCACCUUCGGGUGUGUAUAAAGUGGCGAACGGCUGAGUAACACGUGGGCAACCUGCCCCUUUCAUUGGGAUAGCCACGGGAAACCGUGGAUAAUACCGAAUACUUCGAGACUUCCGCAUGGAAGACUCGAGAAAGCUCCGGCGGAGAGGGAUGGGCCCGCGGCCUGUUAGCUUGUUGGUGGGGUAACGGCCUACCAAGGCAAUGAUGGGUAGCUGGGUUGAGAGACCGACCAGCCAGAUUGGGACUGAGACACGGCCCAGACUCCUACGGGAGGCAGCAGUAGGGAAUCUUGCGCAGUGGGCGAAAGCCUGAUGCAGCGACGCCGCGUGCGGGAUGAAGGCCUUCGGGUUGUAAACCGCUUUCAGCAGGGACGAGGCGAAAGUGACGGUACCUGCAGAAGAAGCCCCGGCUAACUACGUG